rnacentral:rRNA from 1 species
AUACGGAGGGUGCAAGCGUUACUCGGAAUCACUGGGCGUAAAGCGCGCGCAGGCGGCUAUUUAAGUUGGAUGUGAAAGCCUACGGCUCAACCGUAGAACUGCAUCCAAAACUAUUUAGCUAGAGUGUGAGAGAGGAAGAUGGAAUUAGUUGUGUAGGGGUAAAAUCCGUAGAGAUAACUAGGAAUACCAAAAGCGAAGGCAAUCUUCUGGAACACUACUGACGCUGAGGCGCGAAAGCGUGGGGAGCAAACAGUAUUAGAAACCCUAGUAGUCC